UGCAAUAGUGGCGCUGGCGUCAAUAAAGGUCUAAGGUUAAGUUAGCUUAACAUUAUAUUUAAUGCUUAUUUAAAAAAUAAAUUGAUAGAUGCGUUUGAUCCUAUAAUUUUUUCAAGUGAUAUGCUUUCGUUGUGCAUAACAAAAAUGUUGAGUUAAUACCAAUUUACAGAAAAUCAUUUGCAUAACCAUAUUAUCUAUAUGUAUAUCAUAAAAUGAUAUUUUACUCAUAAUGUGUUUGUUGCGUAUUAUUCGAUAUCAACAACAUACUAUUUUUCUAUUAACUGCUAGGGAAUCGUUACGAAUUAAUCCAUCCAAAGGAAAGGGUAAUGUCGUCGUUGAAUUUAAAAGAGAUUUCAACGCCACGUUUAGGUUAUAUAUUAAACAGAUAUGCAAGAAGCAAAAGAUUCAAACAUUUACAAAGUUGGUUGAAGGACAUCAUGAACAGAUGCAGUUAUUAUAUUAAAGAUAAAUAUGAAAGAAGCAAUUAAUCGAAGUAAUAAGGCAACAAACAAUAGCGAUAGGCCGUAACCACAAUGGAAAGACUUUUUGGAAUAUUUAUACCUACAGUUAUUAAUUUCUUUGUUAAGUACUCUGAUCAUAGCAAUGUUAAAUAUUUGGAUCACAAAAAGACACCAUAAUACAAAAAUGUAUUGACAAAAAUAUUAUAAAGUAAAGGAAAUGUUUCUACAAGGAAUAUUUUGGGAAUGCUUCUGUGACCAUCAUUUGUGUUGGCACGCAUAUAUAUUGCACAAACAUUUUUAACUUUUGCUUAUAUUCACGCAAUUUCUUAUAUUAUAAAAAGAGUGGCAAUGAAAUCAAAAUGUAUUCAAAUCUAUCAUUGCGCAAGGUGGUACACUCUUCGAGAAACAGAAGUGUUUUUUAAAGUAGUUGAAUAUGCAUCUGACUUAUGAAGAUUUAGCACUUGGUAUAGGUUUUUUCUAUCACAUACAAAUUUAUUUUAAAAUGAUAUUUUGCUUUGUACAUUGUUCUUUGUUGGUCAUUUCAUGUGCAUUAGGCAAUUGACAUCCGGUUAUCUUACUUUUUGAUGCCAACUCAAUACUUAAAUAUGCUACGAUUGCCAAUGAUGGUGGUAGGAAAGACGAUAAUACAUUAGGAAGACUCUUGAAAGAACUGAAGAAAGCAUUAUCUACAGUCAAGGACGUGAAUUAUAUAGAAUGUUCUGUAAAUUGGUAUUAACUCAACAUUUUUGUUAUACACAACGAAGGCAUAUCAGUUGACAAAAUUAUAGGAUCAAGCGCAUCUAUCAAUCUAUUUUUUAAAUAAGCAUUAAAUAUAAUGUUAAGCUAACUUAACCUUAAACGUUUAAUGACAACAGCUCCACUAUUUCAUCAUGUUUGCAUUUAUAGAAGAUAUUGUUGUAUGGCUUGGAGAGUAAAAAAUAAGGGUUAGAAAAGAUUUUCUAAUUAUCUAUAAUUAACGAGAUGACGAAGCUCGGUUGCAACAAAGUACCACAAAGUUAUACAAAUUGAUUAAUUCACCGUUAGAAAGGAGAAUAAUUGGAUCAUCGCUCAGUUUAUCAUCUGUGCAAUGGACCUCACAAAGCUUGUAAUUUUUUUAUCUAUUAUAUUAAAAUAUCCAAAUUUUAAAAAUAUGAUACAGAAAUUUCAAACCUGUCUAAAUGGAUACCUUGUUAUUCCAAACUAAAUAAGAAAAUUAAUCAAUUCAAUGUGAAACCUGUAGAAAUAAAGCUCCUAAACAUGAAAACAAAAUUUGUAAUGAAAAUGUUAAUGCGUCCGCACAUAAUUAUUUUCCAUACGAAUAUCUUCUAUUCUCGAAGUUGUUACGACGAAAGUAUUAAUUUUGAACCAUUUACGUUCGGAUAUUUGUAUAUGUGUGUGUGGGUAGUUGUGUAUAUAUAUUUUCUCUUUUUCGAAAGUCGAACAUUUCCCAUCCAAUAUUACCAAAUUAUGAUACACAUUACUAUAAUUGUAAAUGACCUAUUAUUCAAUAUUUAUAAAUAUUCGACAAAGUAUUAUUCUUCCGUAAAUACUUGUAGAAACGAUGUGCAUAAAUAGAGAAAUACGUAAAUAGAUAAAUCAUUCCAAUUAUUCGAUUUAUUAAUGAUUCAUUAUUUCGCGCGUAAUAUAGAAAGCAUAAGAAUGUUCUGCAUACGCAUCUACUCAUGUGUGAGUCUAUUUUAUAUUUCUAUAUUUAUAUUAAAAUUUAAUUAGGAAAGAAAAUUUUUGUUUAUAUUAAAAAUUCGAAUUAAUUACAUUUGAUACUUUCACACAUUUUUAUUAUAUGUUUUUAUUGUUUUUAACUAAAUAAAUAUAAAAAUAAUAUUUGCAUUGACUCGCGUUAUAUCCGCAGUAAUGCGAUGUAAUGGAAUUAUAGGAGUUACUUCAGUUACCUAUUAGUGGUCCCUUAGCCAUGUUGGACGUUAUAGCAAGUUUACGUGGUAUUUCGUCGCUUCGCAUAAUUACAGAUAAUUAGUAGACUUUUUCUAACGUACACUCUCUUCCAAUUUAUCUAUCGAUAACAGCGUGAUUUUUACGGGACCGCGUUCGCAAGUCGGCACGUACUUUUGCGUAUUCUAUUUUCUUGCUUUAUUAUUGACGCUUUUUUUGACACUACUUCCUAAUCAAUAAUUUUGUGUUUAUAAUUUUGAUCGAUCGAUAUCUUGUAUUACAUUCAAUAUUCAUAUAUACUUAUAUUUAUACUGGUAUAUAUAAUAUAUGAAGUAGAAGCAUUGUUUAUUCCUAAUACGUUUGAUUUAUUUUUAUAUCUCAAAAUAAUCUGAUUAAAUAAAAUUAGAUUCAUUAUAAAUAAGCGAUGUAGAGUUUAUGCUAGUACAUAUUCUUCAUGAUCCUGGGGUAGAAAGGUCAUCGUACAAACGAUCAACAAAGAUUCCGGUUCAAUAAAAGAAGAAUCAUUUGUCAUCGUUUUGGGGCAGGAUGCUCAUCGUGCAAAGGAUCAACGAAGUCUACAAUAAGUAAAUUUCUUUUUUAAACAUUUCCUUCGCGUAGUAGAGUCAGUGCAUCGAAGAAAAUGAUCGAAAAAUAAAUACAUUUUCUUCUAUAAGAGCAUAUUGGUAA